GGCCUCGUAGCUCAGCUGGUAGAGCGUGCGCGUAGAAAGCGUAGACAGCGUCCAUGCGUGGGUUCCAAUCCCACCAAGGCUA
rfam:Echinostoma caproni strain Egypt genome assembly, scaffold: ECPE_scaffold0006531